AGCUCUGGUGGCAUAGUGGUUAGAGCGUCCGCCUCAGAUGCGGGUGGUCGUGGGAUCGAACCCCGGCGGAGUCA